rnacentral:rRNA from 1 species
UACAGAGGGUGCAAGCGUUAAUCGAAAUUACUGGGCGUAAAGCGUGCGUAGACGGUUACAUAAGUCGGGUGUGAAAGCCCCGGGCUCAACCUGGGAAUUGCAUUCGAGACUGCGUAGCUAGGGUGCGGAAGAGGGAAGCGGAAUUUCCGGUGUAGCGGUGAAAUGCGUAGAUAUCGGAAGGAACACCAGUGGCGAAAGCGGCUUCCUGGUCCAGCACCGACGUUCAGGCACGAAAGCGUGGGGAGCAAACAGG